UAAAGAUUAUGGACAUCAUUUGAGAAGACUUUCUUGGCCUUUUCCCAAACCUCGUAGCAAGUGGUAUAGGCUUGGUACUGUGCUUGGAGAUUAGUUGCUAUGGAAAACCAUAACACAAUGCAUAGAGAAGCAUCGGUUUGUUUCUACUUAUCGCGUUUGGCGGCGAGAAUAGUAUCGGCUUUUGUAGUUAAGUGAUCCUCAUAUCCCUGACCGUGAAACUACAUCUUGACAGCACCAGCCCAUAUGUUGUAGUUGGCUGUUCCGGUCAAUUUCUCACACGGAAUAAGUGGAAUUUUAGUGAACAUGAUGGAAUCAGUAUCUCCCAUGAUAUUUGAUGGCUCGGAACGAAAAAAAAAAAAAACCGAGAGCAGAUCUGGAAAAACGGCGACGGCUGGGGGCAGCGGAUGCGCGGCUGAUUGUCCGACGCGUGAGAUUCACGUGCGAUGAAGGAGAGACGUGUGCGGACGCGUGCGG
rnacentral:lncRNA from 1 species